UACGAAGGGGGCUAGCGUUGCUCGGAAUUACUGGGCGUAAAGCGCACGUAGGCGGAUCUUUAAGUCAGGGGUGAAAUCCUGGAGCUCAACUCCAGAACUGCCUUUGAUACUGAGGGUCUUGAGUUCGGGAGAGGUGAGUGGAACUGCGAGUGUAGAGGUGAAAUUCGUAGAUAUUCGCAAGAACACCAGUGGCGAAGGCGGCUCACUGGCCCGAUACUGACGCUGAGGUGCGAAAGCGUGGGGAGCAAACAGGG
rnacentral:rRNA from 1 species